rnacentral:rRNA from 1 species
CUCCGGUUGAUCCUGCCGGACCUGACUGCUAUCGGAUUGGUACUAAGCCAUGCGAGUCGUUGUAGCAAUACAAGGCGGACGGCUCAGUAACACGUAGUCAACCUAACCUAUGGACGUGGAUAACCUCGGGAAACUGAGAAUAAACCGCGAUAGAUCAUUAUGCCUGGAAUGGCUUAUGGUUCAAACAAUUUAUUGCCGUAGGAUGGGACUGCGGCCUAUCAGCUUGUUGGUGAGGUAAUGGCCCACCAAGGCUAUAACAGGUACGGGCUCUGAGAGGAGAAGCCCGGAGAUGGGUACUGAGACACGGACCCAGGCCCUAUGGGGCGCAGCAGGCGAGAAACCUUAGCAAUGUGCGAAAGCACGACUAGGUUAAUCCGAGUGAUUUCUGUUGAAGAAAUCUUUUGUCAGUCGUAAAACCACAGACGAAUAAGGGGUGGGCAAGUCUGGUGUCAGCCGCCGCGGUAAUACCAGCACCUCGAGUGGUCAGGAGGUUUAUUGGGCCUAAAGCAUCCGUAGCCGGCUACGCAAGUCUCCGGUUAAAUCCAGCUGCUCAACAGAUGGGCUGCCGGAGAUACUACAUAGCUAGGGAGCGGGAGAGGUAGACGGUAUUCUGUGGGUAGGGGUAAAAUCCACUGAUCCAUAGAGGACCACCAGUGGCGAAGGCGGUCUACCAGAACGCGUUCGACGGUGAGGGAUGAAAGCUGGGGGAGCAAACCGGAUUAGAUACCCGGGUAGUCCCAGCUGUAAACGAUGCAAACUCGGUGAUGCAUUGGCUUAUGGCCAAUGCAGUGCCGCAGGGAAGCCGUUAAGUUUGCCGCCUGGGAAGUACGGACGCAAGUCUGAAACUUUAAGGAAUGGCGGGGGAGCA